UACAUCUUUUGGUUUUGUACAGCGAUGUGCGUUUACUCUGCAUUGUUCAUGAGAUUUGCCUGGAUGGUGCAACCGCGCAACUACUUGCUACUUGCGUGCCAUGCAUCAAACGAGACUGUACAGCUCUAUCAGCUCUCUCGUUGGGCUAGAGCCCAGGGGUAUUUAUCCUCCAAGAAAGAAGAGGAGAAACCGUCUCAGUAAACCAAAAUGGAGGAAAGGUUUCUUCAAGCGAUCAUUCAGCAUUUGUUCUUGGGAAUUACUGAGAGAAUCUGUCGUUAUUUUAUAUUUUCCUUUGAAACGUGUUUGUGUUGUGUCACCAAGCUUUGGUUGCUUCACUUGUUGGAUCGCUCACUGACAUUAUUCUCUUUUCUUUGAUAAGUAACCCGCUUGUAAUAAAAUUUGGGACCAGUCCACAUUUCGUGUUAUCACAAAAUUCGAAACUAUUUGAUUUUGGUGUCUU